ACUCGCCCGCGGGGGAGGCCGCCUCCUCCCGGCAGCCCGCCCCCUCCGGGGCCACCCAGGACCAAGAGCUGUUGGCGAAGCCCGGGCCGAAGAGGCGCAGGAGGAAGGGGGCGGCGGGCAGGGCCUCCCAAGCCCGGCUGUCCUCGGCCCGUGCGCGGCGCCCGGAGUCCCACUCCUCCCGAUGCUGUCCCCCGCGCCCGGAGGCCGAGCCAAUUCUCUGGGAAGUUCCCGGCUUGGGAGCGGAGCGGCCGGUCGGAAGAACCUCGGGUGCUGGCGCGCCUGAAGUUGCAGACCAGACUGAAAUGUGCGAGACAUGUGCCUUUUUCUUAGGAAAGGCCCCAGGUACCAGAAAGGUUUUCAGCGCGCCGACCUACGGGGCUAAGAGGGCUGAAAUAAGAACCAGUGACUGAGCGCCGGGAGGUUUAAGGUUUAUGGAAGAUGUUCAUCGCGCCGUACCCUACUAGAGGUUUGGGGACGUGGGACACAGCCCCUGCGUUCCCGCCGCGGACCCCGUGAUAAAUACACAGACACACAAAAUCACUACCGCCUUGAAUCUGGACAGCUACCUCAGGUGGUUAAUAUCUAACAGGAGCAGAGUGGAGCUCAGAAAGACUCAGCGUGGGUGCUGGGUUCCGGCGCGACCAGCCUGAUACCUAGGUCAGCAUCUCAGCCACACAAGCAGGCGGCAGUUCUGUCAGGAAUUACUACAUCUGGUGAUUCCACUUCUCAUAGCUCACCGCUGGGAGAAUAAUUCCUCAGGAUUAACAAGAUCUAUUCCAGAGGAUCCUCACUGCUGAAGCGAUUUUAGAAGACAGUGUGGUCUGUUGACAGUAUGGAAUAUUCUUUACCCAUCAGAUAUGAUCUGUAUGUGAUUGGAAGGAAAUAAACCAACUGCUAACAAC
rnacentral:lncRNA from 10 species